rnacentral:rRNA from 1 species
GACGAACGCUGGCGGCGUGCCUAAUACAUGCAAGUAGAACGCUGAAGGAGGAGCUUGCUCUUCUGGAUGAGUUGCGAACGGGUGAGUAACGCGUAGGUAACCUGCCUGGUAGCGGGGGAUAACUAUUGGAAACGAUAGCUAAUACCGCAUAAGAGUAGAUGUUGCAUGACAUUUACUUAAAAGGUGCAAUUGCAUCACUACCAGAUGGACCUGCGUUGUAUUAGCUAGUUGGUGGGGUAACGGCUUACCAAGGCGACGAUACAUAGCCGACCUGAGAGGGGGAUCGGCCACACUGGGACUGAGACACGGCCCAGACUCCUACGGGAGGCAGCAGUAGGGAAUCUUCGGCAAUGGACGGAAGUCUGACCGAGCAACGCCGCGUGAGUGAAGAAGGUUUUCGGAUCGUAAAGCUCUGUUGUAAGAGAAGAACGAGUGUGAGAGUGGAAAGUUCACACUGUGACGGUAGCUUACCAGAAAGGGACGGCUAACUACGUG